rnacentral:rRNA from 1 species
GAUGAACGCUAGCGGCGUGCCUAACACAUGCAAGUCGAAGGGAAAGAUUCUUUCGGGGUUCGGUGACCGGAGCACGGUUGCGUAAGGCGUAUGUAACUUACCCCAUUCUCUGGGCUAGAUCUUCGCAAGGAGCAUUAAUACCGGCUAACACUAAUGUGGUCAUCCACUUUGGUUGACAGAUUUAUCGGAAUGGGAUAGACAUGCGUCAGAUUUGCUAGUUGGAGAGGUAACGGCUCGCCUAGCCGAUGAUCUGUAGGGGGCCUGAGAGUGUGCCCCCCCAAACUGGGACUGGGACAAGGCGCAGACUGCUACGGGCGGCAGCAGUGAGGAAGAUAGGACAGUGGGUUAGAGCCUGAUCCGGCCAGCCCGCGUGCAGGAAGGCGGCCCUAUGGAUUGUAAACUGCUUUUGUAAAAGAGCAAACCACCUUGCGCGUAGGGUGUUGAAGGUACCGGACAAAUAAGCACCGGCUAACUACGUG